GUCACAUGACCGGUGACCGAGUAAACAGGAAGCCAUAAAAAGUUUGCCGUCAGUUCAAGAAAGUCUCUCUUGGCUGCUUGUCACUGGUCUUCUCCCUCUCACAAAGGGCGAGUGCAAGACGAGAGUUUACCAUUGACGGAGGAAAACUCUCCCGACAGGCACAAGACCGGAGCUUAAUGUACACAACCGGCCCAGCUACCCGGGAUAUUAAGUGACCAUUUCCCCGGCAGGAUUAAGCCGAGUUGGAAACCUACUCUGUGGAAGUUGCGCUCCUCUGCGGCGUAGGCCUGGGCCCGGGUGGAAUGCUGCCUGCCUUCAGUGUAGGGACUGCACGGUGUGACACUUUAUUUUCUGUAUGCUAAAUAUCUCACUGUUAUUAUUUUAUAGAGAUUGUGGUUUAAAUAUUGCAUGCUUAUGUUGUUUUGGUGUGUGGCUUUUCUUGUUUUUGUCCCUCACGAUUAGCAGGCACUGCAACCCAGCGGACCGGGCCUGCCCAACUGA